rnacentral:rRNA from 1 species
AUUGAACGCUGGCGGCAGGCCUAACACAUGCAAGUCGAGCGAGCGGCGGACGGGUGAGUAAUGUCUGGGAAACUGCCUGAUGGAGGGGGAUAACUACUGGAAACGGUAGCUAAUCCCGCAUACCAUCAGAUGUGCCCAGAUGGGAUUAGCUAGUAGGUGGGGUAAAGGCUCACCUAGGCGACGAUCGCUAGCUGGUCUGAGAGGAUGACCAGCAAAACUAGAACUGAGACACGGUGCAUACUCCGAAGGUGGGCAGCAGGGGGGAAUAUUGCACAAGGGGCGCAAGCCUGAUGCAGCCAUGCCGCGUGUAUGAAGAAGGCCUGCGGGUUGUAAAGCACUUUCAGCGAGGAGGCGUUCCUCGCAGAAGAAGCACCGGCUAACUCCGUGCCAGCAGCCGCGGUAAUAC